rnacentral:tRNA from 1 species
GGUGGCUCAGUGAUAGAGCACUUACCUUGCAUGCAUGAGGUCCUGGGUUCGAUUCCCCAGCACCA